rnacentral:lncRNA from 1 species
UCAUUUACCCCCUUUUCAACUUCAGUCCUUUUCCUUUUAUGUAUCACACCUCCUGUGCUCCAUCAUUCUGGUAUCAGAGCCCACCACGGGUUCUGGGAAAGGUACCGUACACGAACCGAGCCCGGCCACCAUCUCCAUGGAUGUUCGCCAUGACCACCUAGAAACCCAACUCCAGGAUACCCAAGACACCAUCACUACCCUCCUUUCUACCCAAGAAGCUCACCAAACCUGCAUUUCCUCUCUCCGCAAGUCAGUCGACAGCCUCGCCACCGCCCAAACCAACCUUCAGUCCUCCAUCAAAAACUAGUUUGGUCAGUUGCAGCAAACCUUUUUCGACGAGCUCCGCCACCUCCGCCCUCACCCACACCUCUCACCUUCCUUCAACACCCACCGCCAAGUCUCCACCUUUAUCUCCCCCUUGACCACAUCAUUCGUAUCCACCUCCUUGUCUCCACUUUUACAGAGCAUGUCCCAUCUUCCACCAUUUCCCCCUCCUUUCCAAACUUCACCCGGCCAUACACACCCUCUCUUCCACAACUACUCUCUCCAUCUCCCUCAUUCUCCCUAUUAUCACCUUCCCCUUCGCAACCUGUUUUUCAUUCUCCUACUCCAUUUACCAUCGCACCACACUCUGUUUUUUCCCACCCACACUUCCCUUCUGCCCACCCUAAACUUUUCCCAUGGAUCUCUGAGGCCACUUAAACUUGAUCUCGAACGCUUUUCCAGGGAUGACCCGUACGAAUGGAUCGCUUUUGCGGAGCGCUUCCUCACGUAUUAUGGGGUGCCCGACGAAGAUAAAGUUAUUGUCGCUGCUGUUCACCUCUCCGCCGACGCUUCUUUAUGGAUGCCUUGGUUCGAACAGCGCUUUCCAAAAGGUUGGACCUUUUUUACCACAGCCUUGCUUCAGCACUUUGGCUCGACAGAUAUUUGCGAUUUUGAAGUCUCCCCCUCUCAUGUCCAGCAAACUGGAUCUUUAGCUGACUAUCUUACCCUCUUUACCAAGCUCGCUUGCAGAGCCCCGGAAUGGUCCGAUACUCAGCUCAAAGGGGUUUUUAUCGGCGGCCUCCGAGAGAGGAGCCAGACUUUAAUGUCCAAACUCUUCAACCCAACACCCUGUCUGAAGCUAAACGUUUAUCUCAACUUUUCAAUUCCAAAUUACAGGCUCGACGUACCUCUGCCCGAACCUUUUACCCCCGUACCUCUCCUAACCCCCAACCACACUCCCACAACUCUCCUUCACCUCUGCCACCUUUACCUUCACCCUAGCCCUUACCCCUUUCUUCCCGCCGCCUCUCCCAAGCCGGAGCACAGGAACGUCGCUCCAAGGGCCUCUGUUUUACCUGCGAAGAGAACUACAGACCUGGUCAUCGUUGUCUCAAGCCCAUGCUUGCUCUCAUUGAGGCCACCGUUCCGGAUACUGACUCAUCGGUAUUUCAUGAUUGUCACCAGGAGUUGGUCCCUCCGGAGCAGGUGUCCGUGGAUCAUUCCACUGACUUUACAGUCCAUUCCAUCCAAGGCCCCGAUUAUCCCUGCACAACGCGUUUAUAGGGAACCAUCAAUAAUGUUCCCAUCCAUAUUUUCAUAGAUUCUGGAGCACCAUUCAAUUUCCUCAACCCAAGCCUUGCUACACGUUUAGGCUUCCCAGUUGAUCACUCUGCCCCCUAAACCCUAUACACAGCCACAUGGGAACAAUUACUUACGCAAGGCACCAUUCAAAACCUCUCUCUCUAGAUUCAAGAUUACUUUCUUACUUCUAAUUUCAAGUUAUUACCCGUUGCUGGUUGUGAUCUACUAUUGGGCGCCGAAUGGCUCGAGACAUUGGGUCUUAUUGAAUAGGACUUCAAGAAUAAGAUUAUGCGUUUCCACCUUGGCGAACACUCCUAUUGCUUGACAGGUAUCCAUCGCUCUCCCACCACCGCAAUUGAUGCCAAGCUUAUGACUCAAACUCUCUUGGCUGAACAAGAGGGCUUCUUGGCAUAGCUUAUCCUGUGCUUACCAGACCAUGGAGACAAUACAGCCACUGCACCACCUCCUGCUCUCCACCACCUUUUGGAUACCUUAUCUGACUUGUUCAACACCCCUGCCGCAUUACCGCCACCUCGCCAUAUUGACCACCGUAUUCCCUUACUUCCGGGUGCUACCCCCAUCAACGUCCGGCCUUAUCGAUACCCGCAUCUCCAAAAAUAAGAGAUUGAAAGCCUCAUCCACGAAAUGCUUGCAGUGGGCAUCAUUCGACCAAGUGCAAGCCCUUACUCCUCACCAGUUCUUUUGGUUAGAAAAAAAAGGACGACUCUUGGCGUCAAUGAGUCGAUUACCAUGCCUUAAAUGUUGUCACCAUCAAAGACAGAUUUCCCAUACUUGUUAUAGAUGAAAUCCUCGAUGAACUCAACGGGGCCUCAGUCUUCUCCAAGCUUGAUCUUCGCUCCGGAUAUCAUCAAAUUCGUAUGCACACCGACGACAUUCACAAAACUGCCUUCUGCACACAUGAUGGGCAUUACGAGUUCCUCGUAAUGCCAUUCGGUUUGUCAAGUGCCCCUUCCACCUUUCAAUCCUUGAUGAAUGAUUUAUUUCGCCCUCAUUUAUGCCGUUUUGGUCUUGUCUUCUUUGACGACAUAUUAAUCUAUAGUGAAUCCUUCCAAGACCAUAUCACUCACUUACAAACUGUUUUUGAGAUUCUCAGAACUAAUCACCUCUUUGUGAAGAAAUCCAAGUGUGUUUUUGCCCAACCACAGAUCGAGUACCUUGGCCCACCAUUUCCUGCCAAGGCUUUGCAGUGGAUCAAACAAAAAUUGAUUGCAUUCAAACAUGGUCUAAGCCGUCUUCAUUGCUCGCCCACUAACGCAGCUACUCAAAAAAGACAAUUUUGUGUGGAACCAUGAAGCUGACGCUGCCUUUGCUGCCCUAAAAAAUGCAUUAUCUUCUACGCCAAUGCUUCAGCUGCCCGAUUUCUCCAAACAGUUUACAGUAGAAUGUGUUAAAGGAAAGAAAUUGGUCAACUAUUGUGAUUACCUCAAUCUUAGUAAUUAGCUAAGUUUACGGUCAUUACAGCUACUGUGAUUUACAUACUUAGAAUAGAUUCCAUGCUUACUUAGAAUAGAACUUUCAUUCUGUAUAAAUCUUGUACAUCAUGAUCUCAAGGAAUCAAUACAAUAUAUACAGCUUUCUACAUUCUUACAUGGUAUCAGAGCACCAACAUAGGUGACUCUGUCCAGCACGUCUUCCACUACCAAAACCAAACACACAAACAACCAACCUACACAGCCCAUCAACAUGGGUGAUGAAAAAUCAUCCGGAUCUGAAAUCAACAUGUCUGAUCCACUUAUCCUACACCAUUCCGACUCACCCGGUCUGGUUCUAGUUUCGAAACCUCUCGAAGGCCAUGACUAUGGUCAAUGGAGUCGCUCGAUGCGAAUUUCCUUGAGCGCUAAAAACAAACUAGGAUUCAUUGACGGGACUAUCAAAGCCCCAGCAAAAACUGAUGCCAAAUUCUCCAUUUGGCAGAGAUGCAACGAUAUGGUGUUAUCCUGGAUUUUGCACUCACUACAACCCGACAUCGCAAGCAGUGUACUUUACUGCACCAGCGCAUCCAUGGUGUGGAAUGAUCUUAAAGAUUGGUUCUCACAAGGCAACGACUCCCGAAUUUACCAAAUCCAUCAAGAAAUUGCCGAACAUCGACAAGGCCAUCUUUCGAUUUCAGAGUAUUACACCAAACUCAAGGCCUUAUGGGAUGAAUUGGAUUCAUAUCAUGAACCCAUCAUCUGCACUUGCGAAGGUUCCACAACACGUGCUUCCAGAGAAGAGAAGGAGAGAGUCAUGCAAUUUUUAAUGGGUCUGAACGAACCUUAUUCAACUGUGCGUGGGUCAAUUCUGAUGAUGUCACCGAUCCCAGACACACGUCGUGUCCAUGGCCUGAUCCUCCAACACGAAAGGUAGCUGGACGUGGCAAAUCGACAGACCGGAUCCCAUGCCAUGCAAAUCAUACGUUCUGCAAACACCAAGGGCGGCACCAACCCAGGCAACUCGGCAGCAGCGGCGAAACCUUCUGGUGCUGGGGACGGAAAAUACAGCUCCAACUUCAGGAAGUCUCUAAAAUGUUCUUAUUGUGAUGGAGACACCCACACCAUUGACACUUGCUUUUUCCUUAAUGGAUUUCCUGUAGGCCACAAACUCCAUGGGAAGAAUGUCAAGCCCAAAAACAAACGAGCUGCUUACACUACUGAAAAGGAUCCAACCCCAGGGCCCCACGUCAAAUCCAAUGACAGCCCCACUUUCACUACUGAAGAAUACAAUCAACUGAUCGCUCUUUUACACGAUCGACCUGGUAAUUCUCAUCUUGCAAAUGCAACAGGUAUUGUUACAUCAACCUGCAACCUUUCAUAGCAUGUCCCACUUUCAAAUUUCUAUUGGAUCAUGGACAGUGGAGCAUCAGAUCAUAUUUCGUGUUUUGCACCUUUACACAACACAGUCAAUACUCAACAUGAUUUUGUUGGUUUACCUAAUGGCGGGAAAGCAGCCAUUAAAAACAUUGGAUCCAUUAAAGUGUCUGACACCUUAACUCUAGAUGGUGUUCUUCAUGUACCACAAUUCAAUGUGAACUUAUUGUCUGUGAGCAAAUUGACACGAGGAUUGCAAUGUAUGGUGACUUUCUUUGAUAAAUUUUGUGUUGUGUAGGACGUGAAUACGGGGAGGACGAUUGGCCUGGGCAAGCAAUUUAAUGGGCUCUACUACCUCAAAGCCACCCAAAACCCACAUGUAGCUCAUCAUGUUCACCACACCUUCCAUCUAUGGCAUCAAAGUCUGGGGACACCCAUCCAACCGCCCCCUACUCAAUUUCUUUCCCAAUAAAAUUUCCAGAAAUUAUCUUUUGAUAACAAAUCAUGUUGUGAUAUUUGUCCUUUAGCAAAAGCAAACUCGCUUAUCUUUUUCUCCAUCUACUUCAAUGUCAUCUCAUGCACCUUUUUGAUUUAAUUCAUUGUGACAUUUGGGGGCCACAUAAAAUUCACAAUCAUACUGGUGCUUGAUAUUUUCUAACUAUUGUGGAUGAUUUUACCCGUUUUACAUGGAUCCAUCUCUUAAAUUUUAAAUCAGACACACAAGGGGUGAUAAAAUCUUUUUUCUCUUGGGCCAAAACCCAAUUCAAUCUUCAUGUCAAAACCUUGCGUGCCGACAAUGGGAGUGAAUUUCUUUCCCUCCAACCUUUUUUUCGAGACACCGGUACCUCUUUCCAACACUCAUGUCCAUAUACACCCCAACAAAAUGGCAUCGUCGAACGAAAACAUCGCCAUCUUUUAAAUGUGGCUCGGGCACUCCGUUUUCAGGCCAAUAUUCCUUUACUUUUUUGGGGAGAAAGCUUACACACUGCAUGUUAUCUCAUCAAUCGCCUUCCAACACCAUUACUCCAACACCACUCUCCAUAUAAACUUUUACACCACAAAACUCCUGAUUAUUCAUUUUUACGAGUUUUUGGUUGUCUGUGUUAUGCUACCAAUGUCCUUCCCAAACACAAGUUUGAUGCACGGGCCCGUCGAUGUGUUUUCUUUGGUUAUCCCCUUGGUCAAAAGGGUUAUUGCCUUUAUGACCUCAGCACACAAAUUUUUUUUUCCUCUCGAGAUGUGGUUUUUCACGAAAAUAUAUUCCCUUUCUCUACCUCACCACCUGAACAACAAACUGACACUAUUGUCCUACCCACUCCAGCCCAUGACCCCUUAUCCCAGACCCAGGAAAGCCCCACCUAUUCUUCUUCUCCUCACUCUCUUCCCCAUCCGGCCCAUAGCCCUCAGCCCUUGGCCCACGACCCACCCCUUACUUAUUCACCCUCCCCAUCUCUUAUCCAACCCGUGCCCCCUAUUCUCUCUGGUUCUUCUCCUUCAUCACCGACGCCCACCCAUGCAUCUUCACCAUCCUUCGAUGCCACGGCGUCACCCUCUCCGGCCCUUUCGUCCCUUCCACAACCUCUUCCUCCUUCUCUCACCGACGCCAAUCCCAUUUCUCCCGACCCACCUCUGCGCAAAUCCACCCGAUCUACCAAACCCCCUCCCCAUUUCAAGGACUACCAAGCCCACCAUGCCGCCCUGCUUGCUCCAGGAGUUCCUUCCCCCAUCACGUCAGGUACUCGCUACCCCAUCACUCGGUAUGUCACUCAUUCCAAUUUUUCAGAACCUCAUCGUUUUUUUGUCAACAAUAUCUCCCAAUUAGUUGAACCUAACACUUAUGAGGAGGCACGUCACAACCCCCACUGGGUUGAGGCUAUGAACUCCGAAAUUGCAGCUCUGGAAGCGAACCACACUUGGUCGUUCGUUCCGUUACCGGCUGGCCAUCGUCCGAUUGGGUGCAAAUGGGUUUUCAAACUCAAGUACAAUUCUGAUGGUACCCUGGAGAGAUACAAAGCUCGCUUGGUCGCCAAAGGGUUCACCCAGCGUGAGGGAAUCGAUUAUACUGAGACCUUUACUCCUGUUGCUAAACUUAUCACUGUCCGUUGUCUCCUCACUGUUGCCUCUGUUCACAAUUGGCCGCUUCAUCAGAUGGACGUGCACAACGCUUUCCUUCAUGGCGACCUCCAUGAAGAGGUCUACAUGCUUCCACCGCCAGGUUAUCAACGACAGGGGGAGCACACUGUGUGUCGUCUCCACAAAUCCUUAUAUGGUCUUAAACAGGCGUCUCGAAGUUGGUUUCGUAAGUUUUCCUCUGCUAUACAAAAUAUUGGUUUUUCUCAAUCCAGAGCAGAUUAUUCUAUGUUUACACACAAACAUGGUAAAUCCUUUACUGUUAUAUUGUUGUACGUUGAUGAUAUGAUAAUUACUGGAAAUGAUGAUGAUGCCAUACGAGAUCUUAAACACUUCCUUGGCACUUGUUUCAAAAUCAAAGAUCUUGGACCUUUAAAGUAUUUUCUUGGAGUUGAAAUUGCACGGUCCAAAUCUGGGAUUUCUUUUUGUCAACGGAAGUAUACACUGGAUAUUUUGGAAGAUGCAGGUUUACUUGGUGCAAAGCCUACAAAAAUUCCUAUGGAAGCCAAUGUUGCACCCAUGCCUACAGGGAGUGACCCUCUCAAGGAUCCUACUUGCUAUCGCAGACUUGUUGGCAGGUUAAUCUAUCUCACAAUAACAAGACCCGAAAUCACAUAUGCGGUGAAUACUCUAAGUCAGUUUAUGCAUGAACCCCGAAUGCAUCAUUUUGAGACAGCACGUCGGCUCCUCCACUACCUCAAAGGAGCUCCUGGCCAAGGGUUAUUAUUCCCUUCACACGGGCCCCUCCACUUGACAGCUUACUGUGACGCGGAUUGGGCACGAUGUCCUUUUACACGGCGCUCAGUUACUGGAUACUGUAUAUUCCUUGGCAAGUCACUCAUAUCAUGGAAAAGCAAGAAGCAAGUCACUGUCUCAAGGUCAUCUGCAGAAGCUGAGUACCGUUCUAUGGCAGCCUCCACUUGUGAACUCACUUGGUUGCGAUAUCUCUUACGGGACUUACAAGUGGAACACAACCAGCCAGCCACCUUACUCUGUGACAACAAAGCAGCCCUCUACAUUGCAGCCAACCCAGUGUAUCAUGAACGGACCAAGCACAUUGAAUUGGAUUGCCAUACCAUUCGUGAGAGAAUUCAAAAUGGGGAGAUCAAGACAGUUCAUGUGCAAACCAAACAUCAAGUUGCAGAUAUUUUCACUAAGCCGCUACCUGCCCCCUUGUUCCAAUCCCAUCUUGGCAAGUUGGGUGUAAUUGAUAUUCACACUCCAACUUAAGGGGGAGUGUUAAAGGAAAGAAAUUGGUCAACUAUUGUGAUUACCUCAAUCUUAGUAAUUAGCUAAGUUUACGGUCAUUACAGUUACUGUGAUUUACAUACUUAGAAUAGAUUCCAUGCUUACUUAGAAUAGAACUUCCAUUCUGUAUAAAUCUUGUACAUCAUGAUCUCAAGGAAUCAAUACAAUAUAUACAGCUUUCUACAUUCUUACAGAAUGUGAUGCCUUUCAAGGAGGACUAGGCGCUGUUCUUUCACAAAAUGACCACCCAAUUGCCUUCCUUUCCGAACCUCUGUUAGGAAGAAAUUUGGCACUCUCCGUCUACGAAAAAGAAAUGAUGUCUGUCAUUUUUGCAAUUCAAAAAUGGAGCCCAUACCUUCUUAGCCAACAAUUCCGCAUCAUCACGGAUCACCAGACCCUUCGCCACUUCUUGGAUCAACGUAUUACGACCCCGGUCCAACAACGCUGGCUGCUCAAACUAAUGGGUUACAACUUUGUGCUCCAUUACCGACCUGGCUCCCAAAACUCCGAUGCGGAUGCUCUGUCACGACGCCAUGAACUCCUUCCUCUCUUGGGCAUUUUUACAUAUCUGGAUACCAUCAAGAAGGAUUGUCAUAAAGAACCCGAUACACAGUUGUUUAUCCAGCGCCUCUGCACCAACACCCCCCUCUACCUAAGGGAUUUUCGUGGCACAAUAACACCCUCUUCUACAAGGACAGGUUGUUUGUUCCUCCUAUCAAUGAUUGGCGCUCCAAAAUCCUCCAAGAAUUCCAUGCCUUCCCCGCAGCUGGCCAUUCCGGUUACCUCCGCACUCUUAAACGCGUUCAACAUAACUUUAUGUGGCCCGGUUUACGCUUUGAUGUCAAAGCAUUAUCACCACCUGCGAUACUUGCCAACGCCAACACUACGAAGCCAUCCACCCUCCCGGUCUAUUGCAGCCUCUUCCAAUUCCAGCCGCUUCUUGGCAAUCUAUCAGUACGGACUUCAUAGAGGGUCUCCCUCAUUCCAAAGGAAAAUCAGUGAUCAUGGUAGUGGUUGAUCGUUUAACCAAAUACGCCCACUUCACAGUCUUGGCACAUCCAUUCUCUGCCAAAAACAUUGCAGCUGUCUUUAUCCAAGAGGUCUUCAAACUACGCGGCCUGCCCCAAUCCAUCAUCAGUGAUUGGGAUCUUAUCUUUUUUAGUAACUUCUGGGAAUCUUUCUUUUAGUUGCAGGGAACCAAACUCUGCCACUCAUCAGCGUACCAUCCUCGGUCAAAUGGCCAAACUGAGGUCAUCAAUCACAUUUUGGAACAAUAGCUCCGUUGUACCAUUGGCGACAAACCCACCUCUUGGACCACAUGGCUCCCAUGGGCCGAAUUUGGGUAUAAUACCACUUACCAAGCCACCAUCAAAAUGAGUCCCUUCCAGGCUCUGUAUGGCUACCCCUCACCUCCAGUUAUCUCAUACACCCCUGGUUCUACAGCAGUCCAUGCCGUUGACACAGCCCUCAUUGAUCGUGACCAGCUAUUGAACACCCUCAAAUCCAAUAUCCAAAUGGCCCAAAAUCGAAUGAAGGUUUAUGCCGACAAACAUCGUACCGAGCGCCACUUUAACGUCGAUGAUUAUGUCUACCUUCGACUACAGUCAUACCGCCAACACUCUGUCAUUUUCCGCCAGAACCACAAGCUCUCUUCUCGCUUCUAUGGCCCCUACAAAAUUGCAGCCCGUGUAGGCCAAGUGGCGUAUCGCCUGGAGCUGCCAACCAACAGCAAAAUACAUCCUGUUUUUCACGUUUCAUUGCUCAAACUCAAGCUUGGCACUACCAGCACUGCAAGCACUCAGCUUUCCCCCAUGUAUUCUUCGGGCGCACAAACUUGGGAACCUGAAGCAAUCUUAGAACGUGGCCUCUUCAACCACCGAAAUGCCCCACUCACCAAAUGGCUGAUUAAAUGGAAAGGAUACCCAGCUAGUGACGCCACUUGGGAAGAAGCCCAAUCCAUUUUCUCACGUUUUCCUUCCAACCACGAGGACAGACCUGUUGCUA